GACGAACGCUGGCGGCGUGCUUAACACAUGCAAGUCGAACGGAAAGGCCCUGCGCUUGUGGGGUUCUCGAUUGGCGAACGCGUGAGUAACACGUGAGUAACCUGCCCUUGACUUUCGGGUAACUUCAGGGGACUGGGGCUAAUACCCGGUAGGAUCUCCUGCUGCAUGUGGGGGGUUGGUGAGUUUCGGCGGUUGUGGAUGGACUCGCGGCUUAUCAGCUUGUUUGUGGGGUAGGUGCGUUCCAAGGCUUUGACGGGUAGCCUGCCUGGGAGGGGUGCCGGCCACCAUGGGCCUGAGAGACGGAGCAGUAGGCAACCGGCCGCAGCGGGCGAGAACAUUGCGCAAUAGGCGGACGCCUGAUGCAGAAACGCUGCGAGCGGGAUGACGGCUUUCGGGUUGUAAACAGCUUUCGAAUGAGAUAAAGCGUGCGUGACGGUAAUGGGUCAAGAAGCAACGGCUAACUACGUG
rnacentral:rRNA from 1 species